UAUCUAAAUAGCUUAUAAAGAGCAUUGAAUUGAAGAUUCAAAGGAAAUUUUAUAUUUUUAGAUAU
rnacentral:tRNA from 1 species